GCAGCGGUAGUUCAGUCGGUUAGAAUACCGGCCUGUCACGCCGGGGGGCGCGGGUUCGAGUCCCGUCCGCUGCGCCA
rnacentral:tRNA from 8 species